UGGCUCAGAACGAACGCUGGCGGCAGGCCUAACACAUGCAAGUCGAGCGCCGUAGCAAUACGGAGCGGCAGACGGGAGAGUAACACGUGGGAACGUACCCUUUGGUUCGGAACAACCCAGGGAAACUUGGGCUAAUACCGGAUAAGCCCUUACGGGGAAAGAUUCAUCGCCGAAGGAUCGGCCCGCGUCUGAUUAGCUAGUUGGUGGGGUAAUGGCCCACCAAGGCGACGAUCAGUAGCUGGUCUGAGAGGAUGAUCAGCCUCACUGGGACUGAGACACGGCCCAGAGUCCUACGGGAGGCAGCAGUGG
rnacentral:rRNA from 2 species